GGUCAGCUGACACAUCCCGGCCAAUCUCCAGCAGACCCUCCCUCACAGACCCUCCUACUUCCUGGACAGCAUUCAUGUUGAAGCUGCCUUCAACAUGGAUGCUGUCCAGGAAGUAGUAGGGUCUGGGAGGGAGGGUCUGCUGGAGAUUGGCCGGGAUGUGUCAGCUGA
rnacentral:miRNA from 1 species